rnacentral:rRNA from 1 species
AUUGAACGCUGGCGGCAGGCCUAACACAUGCAAGUCGAGCGGCAGCGGGAAAGUAGCUUGCUACUUUUGCCGGCGAGCGGCGGACGGGUGAGUAAUGCCUGGGAAAUUGCCCAGUCGAGGGGGAUAACAGUUGGAAACGACUGCUAAUACCGCAUACGCCCUACGGGGGAAAGCAGGGGACCUUCGGGCCUUGCGCGAUUGGAUAUGCCCAGGUAGGAUUAGCUAGUUGGUGAGGUAAUGGCUCACCAAGGCGACGAUCCCUAGCUGGUCUGGAAGGAUGAACAGCCACACUGGAACUGAGACACGGUCCAGACUCCUACGGGAGGCAGCGGUGGGGAAUACUGCACAAUGGGGGAAACCCUGAUGCAGCCAUGCCGCGUGUGUGAAGAAGGCCUUCGGGUUGUAAAGCACUUUCAGCGAGGAGGAAAGGUUGAUGCCUAAUACGUAUCAACUGUGACGUUACUCGCAGAAGAAGCACCGGCUAACUCCGUGCCAGCCGCCGCAGUAA